AUUGAACGCUGGCGGCAGGCCUAACACAUGCAAGUCGAGCGGAUGAAGGGAGCUUGCUCCUGGAUUCAGCGGCGGACGGGUGAGUAAUGCCUAGGAAUCUGCCUGGUAGUGGGGGAUAACGUCCGGAAACGGGCGCUAAUACCGCAUACGUCCUGAGGGAGAAAGUGGGGGAUCUUCGGACCUCACGCUAUCAGAUGAGCCUAGGUCGGAUUAGCUAGUUGGUUGGGUAAAGGCCUACCAAGGCGACGAUCCGUAACUGGUCUGAGAGGAUGAUCAGUCACACUGGAACUGAGACACGGUCCAGACUCCUACGGGAGGCAGCAGUGGGGAAUAUUGGACAAUGGGCGAAAGCCUUAUCCAGCCAUGCCGCGUGUGUGAAGAAGGUCUUCGGAUUGUAAAGCACUUUAAGUUGGGAGGAAGGGCAGUAAGUUAAUACCUUGCUGUUUUGACGUUACCAACAGAAUAAGCACCGGCUAACUUCGUG
rnacentral:rRNA from 1 species